rnacentral:rRNA from 1 species
AGACGGAGGGUGCUAGCGUUGUUCGGAAUCAUUGGGCGUAAAGGGCGUGUAGGCGGCUCGUUAAGUCAUGCGUGAAAGCCCUCGGCUUAACCGAGGAAGUGCGUAUGAUACUGGCGAGCUAGAGUUCGGAAGAGGGGGGUGGAAUUCCAGGUGUAGCGGUGAAAUGCGUAGAUAUCUGGAGGAACACCGGUGGCGAAGGCGACCCCCUGGUCCGACACUGACGCUGAGACGCGAAAGCGUGGGUAGCAAACAGGAUUAGAAACCCGGGUAGUCC